CCUACGGGGGGCAGCAGUGGGGAAUAUUGGACAAUGGGCGAAAGCCUGAUCCAGCCAUGCCGCGUGUGUGAAGAAGGCCUUCGGGUUGUAAAGCACUUUCAGUGGGGAAGAAAGCCUUGGGGCUAAUACCCUCGAGGAAGGACAUCACCCACAGAAGAAGCACCGGCUAACUCCGUGCACAGCAGCCGCGGUAAUACGGAGGGUGCGAGCGUUAAUCGGAAUUACUGGGCGUAAAGCGCGCGUAGGCGGUCUGAUAAGCCGGUUGUGAAAGCCCCGGGCUCAACCUGGGAACGGCAUCCGGAACUGUCAGGCUAGAGUGCAGGAGAGGAAGGUAGAAUUCCCGGUGUAGCGGUGAAAUGCGUAGAGAUCGGGAGGAAUACCAGUGGCAAAGGCGGCCUUCUGGACUGACACUGACGCUGAGGUGCGAAAGCGUGGGUAGCAAACAGGAUUAGAUACCCGAGUAGUC
rnacentral:rRNA from 1 species